UUCUAAGUCCUCAUCCUUUACUCGUUGCUUCUCUUUUUCUUCCAGAAGCCACAACUUCCACAGGAGUCCAUAGAACCACUGUAGUGGGAUGGAAGACAGGGGUAUCAGGUAGCCAAGUCACUAGCAUUCCACUAGGUACUACUGCAGUGGUCUCUGGCAACACCAUCUCACCUAGCAGUUUCAACACAGGUG
rnacentral:lncRNA from 1 species